AACGAACGCUGGCGGCAGGCUUAACACAUGCAAGUCGAACGCCCCGCAAGGGGAGUGGCAGACGGGUGAGUAACGCGUGGGAAUCUACCCAUCCCUACGGAACAACUCCGGGAAACUGGAGCUAAUACCGUAUACGCCCUACGGGGGCAAGAUUUAUCGGGGAUGGAUGAGCCCGCGUUGGAUUAGCUAGUUGGUGGGGUAAAGGCCUACCAAGGCGACGAUCCAUAGCUGGUCUGAGAGGAUGAUCAGCCACAUUGGGACUGAGACACGGCCCAAGCUCCUAUGGGAGGCAGCAGUGGGGAAUAUUGGACAAUGGGCGCAAGCCUGAUGCAGCCAUGCAGCGUGAGUGAUGAAGGUCUUAGGAUUGUAAAGCUCUUUCACCGAUGAAGAUAAUGACGGUAGUCGGAGAAGAAGCCCCGGCUAACUUCGUGCCAGCCGCCGCAGUAA
rnacentral:rRNA from 1 species